rnacentral:rRNA from 1 species
ACGGAAGGCAGCAGUGGGGAGUAUUGCACAAUGGGCGAAAGCCUGAUGCAGCGACGCCGCGUGAGUGAAGAAGUAUCUCGGUAUGUAAAGCUCUAUCAGCAGGGAAGAAAAUGACGGUACCUGACUAAGAAGCCCCGGCUAACUACGUGCCAGCAGCCGCGGUAAUACGUAGGGGGCAAGCGUUAUCCGGAUUUACUGGGUGUAAAGGGAGCGUAGACGGUUUGGCAAGUCUGAAGUGAAAUGCGGGGGCUCAACUCCUGAACUGCUUUGGAAACUGUCGAACUAGAGUGCAGGAGAGGUAAGUGGAAUUCCUAGUGUAGCGGUGAAAUGCGUAGAUAUUAGGAGGAACACCAGUGGCGAAGGCGGCUUACUGGACUGUAACUGACGUUGAGGCUCGAAAGCGUGGGGAGCAAACAGGAUUAGAUACCCUGGUA